rnacentral:lncRNA from 1 species
CGGGGUGCCGGGGGGCGGGGGGGAGCUGCUGUCACACAGGUCCCUAUCCACAUAGCAUUGCCCAAAUAACUAACAACCAUGCUGCCGUAAGAGGGAGGGUUUGACACCCUCUUUGACCGGCACUCACAGUAGAGGACGGGUCUCGCCUUUUUUUGCGUUUUUCAUUCACGUGGAUCCCACGCAUGUAAGUGGAUGUCAAUCAAAUAGACAAAUAAAUU